UCGUCGAUGAGGAUUAUAUCUUGAAUAUCUUAGCGGAUUUCAGAGAGGCAAUUUGCUAAUGAUCUUAUUGUUACACACACUGAGGCUU
rnacentral:snoRNA from 1 species